CCUACGGGAGGCUGCAGUGAGGAAUAUUGGUCAAUGGACGGAAGUCUGAACCAGCCAUGCCGCGUGCAGGAAGACGGCUCUAUGAGUUGUAAACUGCUUUUGUACAAGGGUAAACCUGAAUACGUGUAUUUAUCUGAAAGUAUUGUACGAAUAAGGAUCGGCUAACUCCGUGCCAGCAGCCGCGGUAAUACGGAGGAUCCAAGCGUUAUCCGGAUUUAUUGGGUUUAAAGGGUGCGUAGGCGGAUUGAUAAGUUAGAGGUGAAAUGUCGGAGCUUAACUCCGGAACUGCCUCUGAUACUGUUGGGCUAGAGAGUAGAUGCGGUAGGCGGAAUGUAUGGUGUAGCGGUGAAAUGCUUAGAGAUCAUACAGAACACCGAUUGCGAAGGCAGCUUACCAAUCUAUAUCUGACGUUGAGGCACGAAAGCGUGGGGAGCAAACAGGAUUAGAUACCCGUGUAGUC
rnacentral:rRNA from 1 species